rnacentral:tRNA from 1 species
UCCCGAAUAGUUCAGUGGUAGCAACGUGCGGCUUUGAUCCGCAAGGCGGUUGUUCAAUUCAAUCUUCGGGAG